ACAACGCCAUUAUUGACGAGAUCACUCCCAAGCGGAUUGGAGAUUGUCCCAAUACUUAGACCUAUAGCAAGGCCUUGGGAGAAAUGGUGGUGCAGCAGGAGAGCAGGAACCUAACCAUUGCCAUCCUAAGGCCCUGCAUUGUGCAGAGCAACGUGGCACCAGCUUUUCCUGGGUUGGGUUGAUAAUCUAAAUGGAUGUAGCUGACUCAUUAUUGCGGUAUGUAUAGGCUGGGAAAGGGUUUCUUCUGUCCAUAAAAGCUACUCCAAUGGCUGUGGGAGACUUAAUUCCAAUUCCAGGUGAUACAGCCGUCAGUCUCCCACUAGCUGUAGGAUGGUGUGCUGCAGUUCACAGACCUAAGUCAAUGUUAGUCUACCACUGUACGUCUGGUAACCUCAAUCCCUGCAACCGGAGCAAAAUGUGAUUCCAGGUCUUGGCAACCUCUGAAAUUCCAACUCCAUUUGCGAGAGCUUUGAGGAGGCCAUAUGCUGAUUUCACCACAAGCAACUUCACAACCCAGUACUGGAAUGCCAUCAGCCAGCAGGCCCCUGCCAUUAUCUGUGACUUCUAUCUGUGGCUCAUUGGAAGGAAACCCAG
rnacentral:lncRNA from 1 species